rnacentral:rRNA from 1 species
ACCUGCGGAGGGAUCAUUGCUGGAACGCGCCUCGGCGCACCCAGAAACCCUUUGUGAACUUAUACCUUACUGUUGCCUCGGCGCAGGCCGGCCCCCCCACCGGGGCCCCUCGGAGACGAGGAGCAGCCCGCCGGCGGCCAACCAAACUCUUGUUUCUUAGUGAAUCUCUGAGUAAAAAACAUAAAUGAAUCAAAACUUUCAACAACGGAUCUCUUGGUUCUGGCAUCGAUGAAGAACGCAGCGAAAUGCGAUAAGUAAUGUGAAUUGCAGAAUUCAGUGAAUCAUCGAAUCUUUGAACGCACAUUGCGCCCUCUGGUAUUCCGGAGGGCAUGCCUGUUCGAGCGUCAUUUCAACCCUCAAGCACUGCUUGGUGUUGGGGCACCGCCUGUAAAAGGGCGGGCCCUGAAAUCUAGUGGCGAGCUCGCCAGGACCCCGAGCGUAGUAGUUAUAUCUCGUUCUGGAAGGCCCUGGCGGUGCCCUGCCGUUAAACCCCCAACUUCUGAAAUUUUGACCUCGGAUCAGGUAGGAAUACCCGCUGAACUUAAGCAUAUCAAUAA